GGUUGACACAGCCUGAAGAAAGAAAGAAAAUCACUGAUCCAGAACAGGCCCGGAAGAGCUAGCUAAGGUCAAGCAGAACCAUCAUGCCCUUUCCUGGACAGCAAAGACAUGCAUCUCCAUGGCAACAAGCUAGGCCAUGACAACCAACUCCAGCAGUCUUUACUUGUGUUUUUCUACGCGCUUUGUUUUUGUUUUCGGUGUGUGUGCUAUCUGCUCAGUUGUUUUUUGUUUCCAUGUUGUAUAUAGACUACUCUAUGCCUGUCCUGCAUUUACUAUCUUAGUCCAUAAACACCAGCCCUGCCCUUAGCCAUGCUUGUAUUGUAAAUAAUAACUCUGAAUUCAUUCAGAAUGAGAUCUCUGUUGUGCCAUCAACACUGCUCCAGGUUUUAUUAUUGUGAUGAAGGAAUCCACCUGGCCAGUUGUCAGCCCACUGACAUUCUCCCCUUUCAGUUGGUGCAAGUUGACCUCUUGUGCAUGCAGUUCAAACAAGAUACAGUCUCAGGCACGCAAUGGACUGGGAAACAUGGAAUACAUAAUGGAAUUAAUUCAGGCUUGCUGCAAAUCUACUGAUCCUGGGCCAAACACUUUAACCAUCCCAGCAUUGUAUACUACACCGAGCAAUGCUGAGCCUCGAUCUGAAGUGGACCUGGAAGGAGACAGAUUGAGAAAGGGGUCUCAAGAUUCAGAGAAGCUGCCCCUUUACAGGAAGGACAGCCGUUAUGAUCAAGGACUGAUGGAGGACCGUGAAAAGACUUAAGAUGGCUUAAAGUUGUAGUUUAAAGUCUGAAAAAAUAAAGAAAGAACGGUGCAGACACACGUGAUCCAAGAGUGGAAGGCUGACUGACCGUGGUGAGGGAGGCUCGCAGCUGCAGCGUGGGGACAUCGUACACCUCUUUCUGGGACCCUGCCGAACCCCUGGAG